CCUACGGGGGGCUGCAGUGGGGAAUAUUGGGCAAUGGGCGCAAGCCUGACCCAGCAACGCCGCGUGAAGGACGAAGGCUCCCGGGUUGUAAACUUCUUUUAUCAGGGACGAAGCAAGUGACGGUACCUGAUGAAUAAGCCACGGCUAACUACGUGCAAGAAGCCGCGGUAAUACGGAGGUGGCAAGCGUUAACCGGAUUUACUGGGUGUAAAGGGCGUGUAGGCGGGAAUGCAAGUCAGAUGUGAAAACCAUGGGCCCAACCUGUGGCGUGCAUUUGAAACUGUUUUUCUUGAGUACUGGAGAGGCAGACGGAAUUCCUAGUGUAGCGGUGAAAUGCGUAGAUAUUAGGAAGAACACCAGUGGCGAAGGCGGUCUGCUGGACAGCAACUGACGCUGAGGCGCGAAAGCGUGGGGAGCAAACAGGAUUAGAUACCCGUGUAGUC
rnacentral:rRNA from 1 species